rfam:Pseudovibrio sp. FO-BEG1, complete genome.
AGGUCGGCAGUUCCCAAGGCGUCGCUGCCCCGAAAGGGGAGCUAAACCUGCCA